rnacentral:rRNA from 1 species
ACCCGCACAAGCAGCGGAGCGUGUGGUUUAAUUCGAUGCUACACGAAGAACCUUACCAGGGUUUGACAUGCAAGUGGUAGGAAUCUGAAAAGGGACCGACCUUCGGGGAGCUUGCACAGGUGCUGCAUGGCUGUCGUCAGCUCGUGUCGUGAGAUGUUCGGUUAAGUCCGCUAACGAGCGCAACCCUCACUGUGUGUUAUAUGUGUCACACGGGACUGCCGGUUUUAAGCCGGAGGAAGGUGGGGAUGACGUCAAGUCAGCAUGGCCUUUAUAUCCUGGGCUACACACACGCUACAAUGGUCGGUACAAUAGGUUGCCAAGCCGCGAGGCGGAGCCAAUCCACAAAGCCGGCCUCAGUUCAGAUUGUAGGCUGCAACUCGCCUGCAUGAAGAUGGAGUUGCUAGUAACCGCAGGUCAGCUAUACUGCGGUGAAUACGUUCCCGGGUCUU